AGCCCAUGAUUAGGACAUCUCUUGAAUAAGGCUUUGUACCUCUCCCAAGCAUCAUACAAACUCUCGCCUUCACACUGAACGAAGUUGAAGAUCUCAUCUCAGAUCGC
rfam:Triticum urartu cultivar G1812 contig438810, whole genome shotgun sequence.